rnacentral:lncRNA from 1 species
CUCUGCCUCUUUCUCUCUGUCUCUCAUGAAUAAAUAAAUAAAAUCUUAAAAAAAAUCAUGCCAUACCAAUGACUUAGUUUAGCAAUUAUUGUAAUGGCCAAUGUAAAGAUGAAAGAAUAUCAGCUAACCAAAACCAAAUUUUUGUCUUUUUCCACAGCAAUCCUUUAUCACUUCCUUAUGUUGUUAAUGCUCCAAAUAUGGAUUUUUGGAAUGCUGUUGGGAAGAACUCAUAUCCGGAAGCUCUGGUGGAAUGAGAUGAGACUUACUCACCAGACAGCUCUUUUAAGGUGAUCAGCUGAGAUCUUCCUUGGAAAAACAAUGUCCUGAACCUGGUUGAAUAACAGAAACACCUGUGGAGCUACUUGAAAAUAUGUUUUCUCCAGACCAGAAUCAUGAUCUUAGGGAGACGUCUAGACCUCCAUUCUUAUGUAAGUCUUAUAGUCAAUUCUGAAAAGCAAUUAAUUUUGAGAAUCUGAGUUAUACUAACAGGGAGAAGUGCUGAUUGCCUGGUUUUAAGUACUAAUUGAAGCUGAAUUGCCUAAACAGAAAUCAUAUUAAUUUGAUUAAUAUGAUUAAAUUGUUAAUUUCCCUGUUUUAUGAUUAGCUUCUAAUUAGCAUUUAAUUAGUAGAUAUUUAUAAUAGUCUUAUAUCCUAGUGAGAAGGGCAGGAGAGAUCUUUAACAUUCAAAGUAUGUAAAAGCUUUCACAUACAGUUUAAGGAGACUCUUCAAGUAUGGGUAGAAUCUGAAUAGGCACUGGAGUUACAUGCAGAGAAUUCUGGGUGAGCUGAAUGAAUGAAUGAAGUGACUGGGAUAGAGAAUAGAAUUCCAUGCUCAGGGACAGUGUGUUAAUCGAGCAAAGCAUAUAUGAUGGAAAAUAGUGGAAUGUAAAAUUGCACAGAAUGAAUUGGGGUCUGGGAAGUAGCUUGAAGUUUCAGAAGCUUAGGAACCAUUGAAAUAUUUUUUAUGUGUACACAGGAAUAAAGUGCUAGCAUUUUAUUUUGGGAGAGUGUUC